UGGGAAUAUUGCACAAUGGGCGGAAGCCUGAUGCAGCAACGCCGCGUGCGGGAUGACGGCCUUCGGGUUGUAAACCGCUUUCGCCUGUGACGAAGCGUGAGUGACGGUAAUGGGUAAAGAAGCACCGGCUAACUACGUGCCAGCAACCGCGGUGAUACGUAGGGUGCGAGCGUUGUCCGGAUUUAUUGGGCGUAAAGGGCUCGUAGGUGGUUGAUCGCGUCGGAAGUGUAAUCUUGGGGCUUAACCCUGAGCGUGCUUUCGAUACGGGUUGACUUGAGGAAGGUAGGGGAGAAUGGAAUUCCUGGUGGAGCGGUGGAAUGCGCAGAUAUCAGGAGGAACACCAGUGGCGAAGGCGGUUCUCUGGGCCUUUCCUGACGCUGAGGAGCGAAAGCGUGGGGAGCGAACAGGCUUAGAUACCCUGGUAGUCCACGCUGUAAACGGUGGGUACUAGGUGUGGGGUCCAUUCCACGGGUUCCGUGCCGUAGCUAACGCUUUAAGUACCCCGCCUGGGGAGUACGGCCGCAAGGCUA
rnacentral:rRNA from 1 species